UACGUAAGGGGCGAGCGUUGUUCGGAUUUACUGGGUGUAAAGGGUCCGCAGGCGGCCAGGUAAGUCGAGUAGUGAAAUCCGGGGGCUCAACCCCCGAACUGCUCUCGAUACUGCUUGGCUUGAGGGCGAGAGAGGUAAGUGGAAUUCCUGGUGGAGCGGUGAAAUGCGUAGAUAUCAGGAGGAACACCGAUGGCGAAGGCAGCUUACUGGCUCGCUUCUGACGCUCAUGGACGAAGGUGUGGGUAGCAAACAGG
rnacentral:misc_RNA from 1 species